rnacentral:piRNA from 1 species
UAAGAGGUAGUCAAGUUCGACCGACCAU